AUGAAUACAGCAGGAAAUGAUAAUAACAUCUUUGGUAUCUGUUGAUAUGUAAAUGUUCUAAUGCAGUAAACUGUCAGGAAACAGCAGUUUAUUUUCGUCUUUUUGGUGUUUAGACAUACAAAAGUGAUGCUCUUCAAUUUAAAAACCGAUAAAGGUUGUAACCAGCUGGUAAUGUUUUGACAGAAAAAUGAACUUCUGUUGUAUAUUUGCAUACAUAAUUGAACAUUUUGAUAAGAUUUAAGAAAAGUACAUAACUUUGUGGUGUUGGGAAACUUAUUUCCCUCACCAGGAGAUUGUUGCAUACAUGUACGGGUGAUUUCCAGACAGAGGUAGUUACAAUAUCUGUACGGGAAAUUUUAUGAGGAUUAUUUAUAAGACUGAAAUUAUUGUAUUAUUUGCUGGAAAUGUGGAAUAUGAGGAAUUUAAAGCCAUUCGUGAGUAGUUUUUGAUGAUUCAGCUGGACAAAUGCUGGAAGUUAUACAGUUUUCUCCCACCUUCAAACAGUACAUGGUAUAUCAUGGACACCAAAAGCAAACUAUAAAGAUCUAAAUGCCAUAAUUUUGUGCAUCUUGAAAACUGGAAAGGCGGAUCACUUUGAAGCAGAUGAUAGUGAUAGUGUUUAAAGGAUACUUUGCGACAGUUAUACCAGUUGGAACAGAUAAAAGAUACAUCAGAUGACAGACUUACAUAUAGAGGAGCCUAUAAUUAGAAAAAUGGAUCAACUUGAUUUUGAAGUUAACCUACUGCAUUAAUAUGAAAAUUCAUAAGUGACUGAGCUUAAAGAAAAUCACACAUGAAACUGUAACCAAUUUUGGAGACUCAUACAACAGAACAUUUCAAUACCUAUUAAGUUUUUUAUGUAUAUGUUUGACUUUUGGACAUAUUUUGGGAGUUACUUUAGUAAUUGAGAGACCUCAAUGUUGAAAAAUGACAAUUUUGAUAGAGGACAAUUUUAAGAAUAUCAACUUAGUUGUUUAUGAAUCUUUAUCUUUUAAAAUAUUACUGGGUGUCUGAAAGAAUAUUUCAAAAAUUUCUGAAACUAUUUAGAUAUUUAUCAUGUUUCAUGUGUUUAUAUAGGCAAAUAUUUAUACAUGUCAUUUAUGUUAUGCAAGGGUUUAUAUGAAUUUCUAAAAAGAUGUAUAUAUAUGUGUUGAUAAAAUAAGUUCCAAAUUAUUACAGAGUAACAGAAAAUGGGAUCAAUUUAUAUUAAAACCAAUCUGUUAAAAGGGAAUGAAAAGUCAAAAAUUGUAUUUUUUAAAAUACAUGUAAUUGUGUUAACAUUUUUGUGCUAUUUAGAAAUAUGUACACAAAAAAAAAAAAAAAUUAAUAUAAGUAUCAAUGUAGUAUGCCCUUGUUAUUUUUUGUUUUUUGCAGUACAUGCAUUUGAAUCUUGAUCAAAAUUUAUGGAUUGAAUUACUAAACAGAAUAAACUAAUUGUUAUGUUAACACUGUUGCUAAGUAUAUGUCACAUUUAAUCAGUCCAAGUUAUCCGUCUUAUUACAAAGGAGGUUUGAUAUGAUUGCCAAUUUCAAGGCUACAUGUACCUAUCACAGUUCUCUUUAAGACAUAAUCAUUGUGAUGUAUGGGAAUAGUUCUCUGUUGUCAUAUUCUGACUUUUAUACAAACCAAGUGAUGAAGAUAAAGGAUGCUUCUAUUUCCAAAGGUUUUGAAGAAACUGCUAUGGAACACAAUAAAAAUCAGAAGAUGUAGUAUAACAGUGGCGGAUCCAGAAAUUUUCAUAAGAAGGAGCCCACUGACUGACCUAAGGGGCCCCCUCCAGUCACGCUUCAGUGAUUACCUAUACGACCCCCCCCCCCCCUGCCCCCUCUAAAUCCGCCUCUGCAUAAUUGUAAUCAGACAACUCUCCAUUAAGAGACCAUACACUGUAAAAGUUUAUAGUAAUAGGUACAGCCUUCAAUAAAGAAUUAAACCACUCUGCAUAAUCAUAUUUAAUUUUGCAAAAACAAAGAGCAUUUUUGUCACUAUCAAUUAUAUACAUGCAUGUUCUAAUGUAUUCAUGUGGUGUCUGUCCUUGAUUUGAAAUUCCUCCCCCCCCCCCAAAAAAAAAACAAAUAUAAAUGGAAAAGAUCCAUGGUCAUGAUGGUCAUGCCAGUUGGGAGUUCAGAGUAUAUAAGGUUGAGAAAUGAGGAUCUAAUCAUUUAUUAUUCGACUGCAAACAAUUUUUGGGAAUGUAUAAUGGUAUGUCGUCAUUGUUGUUGUCUGAAGACACAUUGGUUUCUGGACAAUACCUUCAUUUUAAAUUAAUGGAUAUCUAUGAAAUUUUGUUAUAAGGUUCAAUUCCCCUAAAGGAAGGUUUGGAUAAAUUUGGGGAUGAUGGUCCUUGGAACACAACAGAUUGUCUUGAGGUGCUGCACACAUGUGCCGAAUAUCAAAAGAUUUUGUCAAAGGGCAAACAGAUAAUGCUCCCGACACAAAAUUGUAAACAAAAGUCAUCUUUUAACUUUGGGGUCAAAGGUCAAAGUACAGCAAAAAAAAUGUAUUAUAGGUAUCUGUGGCAUUGACUUAUGAUCUAGAUGCCAAUUCAAUGAGAAUUUUCUUGCAUCUUCCAACUAAGUACUUUCAUGGUGAAAAUUUGUACGUAAAAGGCCUACAGGAAAUGAAUAGUGUACAUUUUAUGCUUGCUAUGGCAACCAAAGGAACAAAGUGGCGACAAGACUACAACUUUUUUUCUUUAUUUUUUUUCAUCAAAAACUCACUAAAACAUGAUAAAUACAAUAAAGAUGCAAAAGUGUAUGGUAUUUUGCAACUUAAUCCAUGUAAUACCAUUUUGGUUUGCCAAAGCAUAAUUUUCUCAAUAUUACAAUUUUCCUUAUUUUUUGCAUUUUUUUAAUGAAUUGUUUUAAAAAGAGUAAAAAAGAUACCAAAAAUUGUACUUUCAUUAUUUUUAUGCCCCACCUACGAUAGUGCCUUCGUUCGUCUGUCCGUCCGUCCGUCUGUUCCACUUCAGGUAAAAGUUUUUGGACAAGGUAGUUUUUGAUGAAGAUGAAGUCCAAUCAACUUGAAACUUAGUAACAUGUGCCCUAUGAUAUGUUUUUUUUAAUUUAAAUGCCAAAUUAGAGUUUUGACCCCAAUUUUACGGUUCACUGAACAUAGAAAAUGAUAGUGCAAAUUUCAGGUUAAAGUUUUUGGUCAAGGUAGUUAUUGAUAAAGUAGAAGUUUAAUCAACUUGAAACUUAGUGUACAUGUUCCCUUUGAUAGCAUCAUUAUAAUUUUAAUGCCGAAUUAGAGAAUUUAUUCCAAUUUCACGGUCCACUAAACAUAGAAAAUGAUAGUGCGAGUGGGGCAUCCAUGUACUGUGGACACAUUCUUGUUUUAAACCAACAUAGUACUAGACUUCCAUAUCAGUAGUAAGUCAUAAAUGUUGUUUUCCUCUGGUGAUGGAUAAUUGAAAACGGUUAGAAACUGGCUUUUCUUAAAUUUUCUCAAUUUUUCUUAUUUUAGCAUUUUUUUACCUUAUUUUUUUUUUAAAUCAAAAAGAUACCAAAAAUUUCAUUUUCAUCAUUUUUCACACCAAAGUAGUACUAGACUUGCAUAUAGGUAGUUUAUUCAUUAGUGUUGUUUUCCUCUGGUGAUGGAUAAUUGCAAACGGUCAGAAAACGGCUUUUCUCAAAUUUUCUCAAUUUUCCCUAUUUUAGCAUUUUUUUUUACCUUAUUUCUUGAAAAAAUCAAAACGAUACCAAAAUUUUAUUCUCAUUUUUUUUUACACCAACAUAGUACAAGACUUCCAUACAGGUAGUUAAGUCAUUAAGGCUGUUUUUCUCCAAUGAUUGAUCAUUGAAAACUGUCGAAACUGGCAUUUCUCAAUUUUCCUUAUUUUAGCAUUUUUUUACCUUAUUUUUUGAAAAAAAUCAAAAAGAUACCAAAAAUUUUAUUUCCAUUAUUUUUUACACCGACAUAGUUCUAAACUUCCAUAUAGGUAGUUUAGUCAUAAGGGCUGUUUUUCUCCAAUGAUGGUUCAUUGAAAACGGUUAGAAACUGGCAUUUCUCAAUUUUCUCAAUUUUCCUUAUUUAAGCAUUUUAUUACCUUAUUUUUUGAAAAAAAUCAAAAAGAUACCAAAAAUUUUAUUUUCAUUAUUUUUUACACCAACAUAGUACUAGACUUCCAUAUAGGUAGUUUUGUCAUAAGUAUUGUUUUUCUCUGAUGACGGAUAAUUGAAAACAGUAAGAAACUGGCUUUUUCCCCAUACAUUUCAAUGGAAAAUAGCGGUUUGAGCCCUUAUAUUGAAUUUCAUUAAAAAAAAUGUCAAAUUCACAAAAAAUUGAAAAUUUUUUUAUAUAUUCCCAGUCACUAUGUUAUACUGAAAGGGAAAAAUAUAAGUUUGACCAAAUUAAUUUUUUUUAGUUGAACAGUCCUGCCUGGUUUUCUCUGGCAAAUAAGGUGGGGAUCUAGUGUGGGCCGAUUGGCCAGUGGGCCGAGUU